CACACACAAAGAGUACAAUGCACAAGGGCUCUUCUUUCUCCUUAUUGUACCCUUGCCAGACUCUUCUAAACACAAAGUUUUUGUCCCACGACACUCGCGGCUGUGACUCAAGACUUGGCGCGUUAAAGACACUCAACCCCAAGCCCCUGAGCGGUGAUCGUGGGAUGUACCCUCCAGCUCAUUUACACCAGCAGACACAUGCACGCAAACGUGGUGUUUACCUGUCUCCUCCAGUUUGGACAGCGAGACAGAAGUUGAGACCCCAACCUACAACAUUUAAGCCUGGUCAGACCUGGCUUUGGGGAAUUUAUAAAGGGACCUCCAUCUUGACUGUUUCACGAGUAAAAGGAAAAAAAAAAAAACUAACACAGCCCUUCACCCCAACCUCUGGGACCGUUUUUCCCCAGUCCUGCUGCUGAACCCCCUACUCCAUUGGGACAGGCGCUUUGCUUUACACACUCCUAGGCGCCUGGGGCACCCAAGUCUGCUCUAGGUCGGAGGUCCAGUUUGGGGAAAAGUGGUAGGUGGCUGCCUGGCGUUUCGGGGCUUUUAUUCAAGAUCUUUGCUGAUGUCCAAGUUCAUCUCUCAGGGAAACCGAAUUUGAAUCAAGUCUGCGUGAGCUCAGGUGUCAAAUCUGUAACCCCAUCACUCCAAACAAUGGGCAGCCGUGAAAGACAGAACAGUAACCUUCAUUUUGAUCGAGGGGGGUUAAUUGAAAAGGGCAAGGGCUUUGAUUGAAGUUUGAGGCCCGGGUGUAAGGGCGGGGAGAAGAGGAGGAGGGGUGGAUAGCUCUCUAUUCAGCUACACAUCAGCCAGGUUGCCCUUCAGCUGUGGCGGCUUCUAGCUGCCUGCUGCUCAUUAUUUGGAGUUGCCAAAAUGUGUCUGCACCUCAUUGUGCACCCCAAAGCCCAAAGACAUCCCACCAGUGCACGCAGCUCCUUGACUCCACACGUUUCUCAGAGGCAGGGAAGAAGAAGCUGCCUUCAUUAGGCAUCUCUCCAAUACACACACACACACACACACACACACACACACCAUCACACAAGACACAGAUUUCUAGUUCAGUAUAUCAGUUUACAUUUGGUUGUUGAGUAAACAAAGCAAACAUAUGUCCCAUUUUCAUGGCAGAUGGUUCAAACCAAGACCCUACUUUUCUUUCUCCAGCAGUCGUAAGUCAGACUUACAGGAUUGAUUAAUCAGAGAUAUGAUUAAGUCUUCCAGUCAGUUUCUUUGCUUUAAAGAAGUUUAUUCCCAUAUUCUCACACAUGAGCUAGAACAAGAAGAUUUUGGUGAUAGGAAGGCUGAAAGGAAAUUAAGAGUUUAUCUGAAGGUUGUGUUUCAUCAUAAAUGCUCAAAACAUAAAACCCUCUUUCACCAUUUUACUUUAUAAGUGGAAUUGUAGGUCUUCCUUUGUAGGAUCUUUGUAUGCAAUUCCACUCUUCAGUAGGUGGUCUGGAGUGCCUAUCACUGUGACCACUUGGGAUGGUUGGAUGACAAUGAGGUUUCCUUUAAGAUAUCGUUCACAUAUUUCAUAAGUUCUUGGUUUAUGAAAGACUCCAUGUUACCCUAUAUAUUCCACAGACAUCUUCUAAAUCAAAUUUUAAUAGAGUAGAAGAAGAAAGGUGGACUAAAAGUUCUCCAAAAGAAAGAUAUGAAGCCUCUUUUAAAACACUAACAGCUUCAAGAAUAUUUCAGACCCAUUCGCUCAAACUAACCUUUAUUAAAUUCUUACUCAUGAUGAAAACAGAAUUUGUAUUUCAAAAUAAAAAUUAUAAACCACCAGCUGCUGUAACUGUGUUAUCCAAUGCAAUAGUCAUUAGCCAUGUGGCUACUUCGAUGAAAUUAAUUAAAUUUAAAUACAUGAAAAAUGUAGUUUCUUGGUACCACUAAUCAAUAGCCACAUGUGGCUAAUAGCUGCCAUAUUGGACAACACAGAUAUAGAACAUUUCUGUCAUCAUGGAAAGUUCUAUGAGCAGCACUACCCUCUAAUGUUGGUAUGAGGUUAAUAUGGUGCAUAUAUAACAGUUCUUAGAAUAGCAGAUUUGCACAGUCAUAAAGUGAGUGCUUUACAAGCAGCAGCAGUAGUGGGAGAUACUUUUGUGGAAAUAAUGACAAUAUAAUGUUCAUGUAGAUAAUGAUGAUGAUACUCAGUUACUCUCUUGAGGAAGUUGAAAAAUCCAAGAAGACACAGCCAAUGCCAGAUAUGUUCUCCACUCGGGAUGAGAUCAGUAGGCAAAAAAGCCAAGCAGUAGAGGAAUGGAUAUGUCAAAAGCUCAUCCCUGCCAGGAGAACUAUGAAUGCUACAAGCCAUUUAACAGUCCAGCCUCCCUACUCGGAAGAUGCAUGACUUGGAGAUGCCUGGCUGGCAAGGCAUGGGUGUGUUAGAAGGAGAAGUGUUAUUUCAGCAGACUUGCCACAGAGGCUUCCUUGAGAAAUCAUCUUCAAUUGCUGAACAAAAGAAAUUUGAAUUCAUUGAUAAGUUCAUCCCCUCAGCUGGAGUAUGAGAAAGUGUCAGAGAAGCUGAUUUGUGCUCAAAUUUGCUAUUUCCUGAGAAUGUAAACACUUAUUAGCACAAUUAGAAUUUUGGUGCAUGGUAGGCAGAGGGUGACUAUGUACAAACUCCCAAAAGAAACCAUGAACACUGACUCUCUGAUGAGCUUCCUUAAGGGCAUUCUGUGUGACUCCCCUAGCAGAGGAUCCUGGGAAGCCUCUGGGCUUAGCCUCAUGCACAUUUUCUUUUGCUAUAUUUGCUUUGUCACCUUUCUCUGUGACAAACCACAGCCACAAAUACAUAUUUGUGCUGAAUCCUAUGAGCCCUCCUAGAGAGUCACCAAACCCGGGGGUAGUUUUGGGUACUCCCAACAAAGAAAUAUUCUAAAUGCAGUUCAUGAAAUGAACCCUGGUGGUGGUGUGAAAUUGUAAAGGUUUGCCUUGCACAGGUCAAAGCAAGGCUGGCAUUAUAAACAUGGAGAUUCAUGCAAGCACUUGGGAUCCCCAUGUUUGAGAGGGCCUUAAGUUUGGUUUAAUGCUCUGAUGUCACCAUUUUGAAAGUCUUAAUACUUUGUGCUCAGAGUCUUGUGUUGUCACUUUGCCCUGGGCCCAGCAAAUUGUAUUCCUGAUCCUGGGUCAAGGUGGUACUUAGAGAUAAAAUGAAACAUGUGGUUGCUCCAAAUGCUUCCUCUCUUGCCACUAGGAGUUUUUUCACUCAGCUUUCUACAGGGUCAAAAAAAAAAAUCUACUUAUUAUAGAUUCACUUUGUAGAGGAAGGUGUCCCAGGUGUGUUAAAUGGCUAUUAGUUUCUUAGAGAAAACUUGUUUACUCAUUUGCUCACUGCAUAGUCCCCUCCUUAACCCUUUGUUGAAUUCAAGAUCCUAAGUUAGCAUUUUCCAUAAUCUGAUCUCUAGAAUAGUGA